CCUACGGGAGGCAGCAGUGAGGAAUAUUGGUCAAUGGACGAGAGUCUGAACCAGCCAAGUAGCGUGAAGGAUGACUGCCCUAUGGGUUGUAAACUUCUUUUAUAUGGGAAUAAAACGUUUCACGUGUGGGAUUUUGUAUGUACCAUAUGAAUAAGGAUCGGCUAACUCCGUGCCAGCAGCCGCGGUAAUACGGAGGAUCCGAGCGUUAUCCGGAUUUAUUGGGUUUAAAGGGAGCGUAGGUGGAUUGUUAAGUCAGUUGUGAAAGUUUGCGGCUCAACCGUAAAAUUGCAGUUGAAACUGGCAGUCUUGAGUACAGUAGAGGUGGGCGGAAUUCGUGGUGUAGCGGUGAAAUGCUUAGAUAGCACGAAGAACUCCGAUUGCGAAGGCAGUUCACUGGACUGCAACUGACACUGAGGCUCGAAAGUGUGGGUAUCAAACAGGAUUAGAUACCCCUGUAGUC
rnacentral:rRNA from 1 species